rnacentral:rRNA from 1 species
UCUUUUAGUUAAAAAUUUAAAGUCCAAUCUGCUCACUGAAAUUUUUUAAAGAGCCGCAGUAUUUUGACUGUGCAAAGGUAGCAUAAUCAAUAGUUUCUUAAUUGGAAACUAGAAUGAAAGAUUAGACAAGAAAAUGAUUUUCUUUAUUUUAAUAAAUUUAAUUUAAAAUUUGAGUGAAAAUUCUCAAGUAAAUUAAAAAGACGAGAAGACCCUAUAGAUUUUUAUUAAUUAAGAUUUAUUUUAUAAAAUAUAAAUUUAAGUUAAUUUAAUUGGGGUGAUGUUGUAAUACAAAAAACUUAAUUUUAAGUAACCAAGAAUAAAUGAAUUUUUAGAUUUUAAAUUUUGAAAGAAAAGAUUAAAUUACCUUAGGGAUAACAGCGUAAUUUUAUUUACGAGUUCAUAUCUAUAAUAAAGUUUGCGACCUCGAUGUUGAAUUAAGAUAAAAUAUUGGAGUAGAAGUUAAUAUUAUUAGUCUGUUCGACUAUUAAAUGC